CCUACGGGGGGCUGCAGUAGGGAAUAUUAGAAAUGGACGAAAGUCUGAUCUAGCGACACCGCGUGUGCGAUGAAGGCCUUCGGGUUGUAAAGCACUUUUUGGAAGGAAUAGGAAGGAAGGUACUUCCAGAAUAAGUCUCGGCUAACUACGUGCCAGCAGCCGCGGUAACACGUAGGAGGCAAACGUUAUCCGGAUUUACUGGGCGUAAAGCGCGUGUAGGUGGUUUUGUAAGUAGGGCGUGAAAGCUCCCGGCUCAACUGGGAGAGGCCGUUCUAAACUGCAGAACUAGAGGAUGGUAGAGGGAGGUGGAAUUCCAGGUGUAGCGGUGGAAUGCGCAGAUAUCUGGAGGAACACCAGUGGCGAAAGCGGCCUCCUGGACCAUUCCUGACACUCAGACGCGAAAGCUAGGGUAGCAAACGGGAUUAGAUACCCCAGUAGUC
rnacentral:rRNA from 1 species